rnacentral:rRNA from 1 species
AACGAACGCUGGCGGCAUGCCUAACACAUGCAAGUCGAACGAGACCUUCGGGUCUAGUGGCGCACGGGUGCGUAACGCGUGGGAACCUGCCCUUAGGUUCGGAAUAACUCCCCGAAAGGGGUGCUAAUACCGGAUAAUGUCUUCGGACCAAAGAUUUAUCGCCUUUGGAUGGGGCCGGGUUGGAUUAGCUAGUUGGUAGGGUAAAAGCCUACCAAGGCGACGAUCCAUAGCUGGUCUGAGAGGAUGAUCAGCCACACUGGGACUGAGACACGGCCCAGACUCCUACGCGAGGCAGCAGUGGGGAAUAUUGGACACUGGGCGAAAGCCUGAUCCAGCAAUGCCGCGUGAGUGAUGAAGGCCUUAGGGUUGUAAAGCUCUUUUACCCGGGAUGAUAAUGACAGUACCGGGAGAAUAAGCUCCGGCUAACUCCGUG